AACGAACGCUGGCGGCAUGCCUAACACAUGCAAGUCGAACGAGACCUUCGGGUCUAGUGGCGCACGGGUGCGUAACGCGCGGGAACCUGCCCUUAGGUUCGGAAUAACACCCCGAAAGGGGUGCUAAUACCGGAUAAUGUCUUCGGACCAAAGAUUUAUCGCCUUUGGAUGGGCCUGCGUUGGAUUAGCUAGUUGGUAGGGUAAAAGCCUACCAAGGCGACGAUCCAUAGAUGGUCUGAGAGGAUGAUCAGCCACACUGGGACUGAGACACGGCCCAGACUCCUACGGGAGGCAGCAGUGGGGAAUAUUGGACAAUGGGCGAAAGCCUGAUCCAGCAAUGCCGCGUGAGUGAUGAAGGCCUUAGGGUUGUAAAGCUCUUUUACCCGGGAUGAUAAUGACAGUACCGGGAGAAUAAGCUCCGGCUAACUCCGUG
rnacentral:rRNA from 1 species